rnacentral:rRNA from 1 species
CGAACGGGUGAGUAAUACAUCGGAACGUACCCAGUAGUGGGGGAUAGCUCGGCGAAAGCCGGAUUAAUACCGCAUACGCACUGAGGUGGAAAGCGGGGGAUCUUCGGACCUCGCGCUAUUGGAGCGGCCGAUGUCAGAUUAGCUAGUUGGUGGGGUAAAAGCCUACCAAGGCGACGAUCUGUAGCUAGUCUGAGAGGACGACCAGUCACACUGGGACUGAGACACGGCCCAG